UCUACUGCGAAAAAUUGAUGGAGAUGGAUCGGUAGUGUUGGUCGGACGGGACCAUCCACAACAACUGGA
rnacentral:ribozyme from 1 species